rnacentral:tRNA from 1 species
CGGGUUGGGGCGCAAUCUGCACUUUUGGGAGGCCUCGCGCAGGCCUGAAACCCUUACAGAUCAACAGGAUGGGCCUAUCUGUAACGAUGCCUGGGGGGCAGAGGGUCGUCGGUUCGAAUCCGGCCGUCCCGACCA